rnacentral:rRNA from 1 species
AUUGAACGCUGGCGGCAGGCCUAACACAUGCAAGUCGAGCGAGCGGCGGACGGGUGAGUAAUGUAUGGGAAACUGCCUGAUGGCGGGGGAUAACUACUGGAAACGGUAGCUAAUACCGCAUACCAUCAGAUGAACCCAGAUGGGAUUAGCUAGUAGGUGGGGUAAUGGCUCACCUAGGCGACGAUCCCUAGCUGGUAUGAGAGGAUGACCAGCCACACUGGAACUGAGACACGGUCCAGACUCCUACGGGAGGCAGCAGUUGGGAAUAUUGCACAAUGGGCGCAAGCCUGAUGCAGCCAUGCCGCGUGUGUGAAGAAGGCCUUCGGGUUGUAAAGCACUUUCAGCGAGGAGGCGUUACUCGCAGAAGAAGCACCGGCUAACUCCGUGCCAGCAGCCGCGGUAAUAC